GCCUCGGUAGCUCAGUCGGCAGAGCAUCCGGCCGAAACCCGGUGCGCGGCGGUUCGAUCCCGCCCCGAGGCA
rnacentral:tRNA from 1 species